rnacentral:rRNA from 1 species
UACGUAGGGUGCGAGCGUUGUCCGGAAUUAUUGGGCGUAAAGAGCUUGUAGGCGGUUUGUCGCGUCUGCUGUGAAAAUCCGGGGCUCAACCCCGGACUUGCAGUGGGUACGGGCAGACUGGAGUGUGGUAGGGGAGACGUGGAAUUCCUGGUGUAGCGGUGGAAUGCGCAGAUAUCAGGAGGAACACCGAUGGCGAAGGCAGGUCUCUGGGCCACUACUGACGCUGAGAAGCGAAAGCAUGGGGGAGCGAACAGG